rnacentral:rRNA from 1 species
UACGUAGGUGGCAAGCGUUGUCCGGAAUUAUUGGGCGUAAAGAGCUCGUAGGCGGUUUGUCGCGUCGACUGUGAAAAUCCGAGGCUUAACCUCGGACCUGCAGUCGAUACGGGCAGACUAGAGUUCGGUAGGGGAGACUGGAAUUCCUGGUGUAGCGGUGAAAUGCGCAGAUAUCAGGAGGAACACCUAUGGCGAAGGCAGCUCGCUGGGACGUUACUGACGCUGAGACGCGAAAGCGUGGGGAGCGAACAGG